UACAGAGGGUGCGAGCGUUAAUCGGAAUUACUGGGCGUAAAGCGUGCGUAGACGGUUAUCUAAGUCGGAUGUGAAAGCCCCGGGCUUAACCUGGGAACUGCGUUUGAAACUGGGAGACUUGAGUGUGGCAGAGGGGGGUGGAAUUCCACGUGUAGCAGUGAAAUGCGUAGAUAUGUGGAGGAACACCGAUGGCGAAGGCAGCCCCCUGGGUUAACACUGACGCUCAUGCACGAAAGCGUGGGGAGCAAACAGG
rnacentral:rRNA from 1 species